rnacentral:rRNA from 1 species
UACGAAGGGGGCUAGCGUUGCUCGGAAUCACUGGGCGUAAAGGGCGCGUAGGCGGGAUGGCAAGUCGGUCGUGAAAUCCUUCGGCUCAACCGAAGAACGUCGGCCGAUACUGCCGUUCUUGAGGGAUGCAGAGGAGAUUGGAAUUCCCGGUGUAGCGGUGAAAUGUGUAGAGAUCGGGAGGAACACCGGUGGCGAAGGCGGCCCCCUGGUUGGAUACUGACGCUGAGACGCGAAAGCGUGGGGAGCAAACAGG